rnacentral:rRNA from 1 species
CCUACGGGCGGCAGCAGUGGGGAAUAUUGCACAAUGGGGGAAACCCUGAUGCAGCGACGCCGCGUGAGCGAUGAAGUAUCUCGGUAUGUAAAGCUCUAUCAGCAGGGAAGAAAAUGACGGUACCUGACUAAGCAGCCCCGGCUAACUACGUGCCAGCAGCCGCGGUCAUACGUAGGGGGCAAGCGUUAUCCGGAUUUACUGGGUGUAAAGGGAGCGUAGACGGUUCUGCAAGCCAGGUGUGAAAGCCCGGGGCUCCACCCCGGGACUGCAUUUGGAACUGUAAGGCUAGAGUGUAGGAGAGGCAGGCGGAAUUCCUAGUGUAGCGGUGAAAUGCGUAGAUAUUAGGCGGAACACCAGUGGCGAAGGCGGCAUGCUGGACGAUGACUGACGUUGAGGCUCGAAAGCGUGGGGAGCAAACAGGAUUAGAUACCCGAGUAGUC